rnacentral:lncRNA from 1 species
GAGGUGUCACUGUGAGCUGUGUCGGUGCCUUAAGAGAUAUCUGUUGUGUCUUAUUACUUGGUUGCUUUUCCCCACAUGUACAAUGACAAAAAUGCCUUCAACCUAUUUGAUCCAGCCGUUCCAGUACAACUCCUAUACUUGCCAUCUUUCCAAGCCCAAAGGUACAUCCAGCUGAUGGAAGGAGCAUCUUGGUGUUAAUAUUCUUUUAGUCAUGGUCUCUGAAAGUAAAAUGUCUAUUCUUCUAAUUCUGGCACAAUCUUAUCUAGCUAUAGUUCCUCAUGGUCCUGCACUCCAUGGACUAAAUUGUAAGUAUAAUUACUACCAAUGUACUCUAUAAAUAACUUUUGGGGCCAGGGUGGCAAUAGUUGCUAGAGAGAAAAAAAAAAAAAAGGAAGGAGAAGAAAACAGUGAUAGUUCUUAUUUUAAAAGGAAAAAAAGAGGCAGGAGGCUCUCUUGAGGCCAGGAGUUUAAGACCAGCCUAGGCAGCAUUUCAAGACCCUGUCUCUACUAAAAAGUAAAAAAAAAAUUUAGUCAGGCAUGGUGGCAUGCACCUGUAGUCGUAGCUACUCAGGAGACUGAGGUGGGAGGAUUGAUUGAGCUCAGGAGUUUGAGGCUGCAGUGAGCAAUCAUCAUGCCAUUGCACUCCAGCCUGGGCAUCAGAGCAAGACCUUGUCUUUUAGGAAAAAAAGGCAGGGAAGAGGAAUAGGUAAUUUUUCAGUGUUCAGACAUUCCAGCAAUAUGUGUGGAGUACUCAUUCUCACUACAGUUUAUGAGGCCAUAGCUAGUAUGUAUGACUACCCAUCCAAGUUUCCCUGCUUACAGUUACUAUUCCAACUGAUUGGGGGGCUUUUCCUAAUAGAGUGAUUUAAGCCUUCAUUUUUAGACAUCUAAGCCCUUGGUGAUCAUCAGCAUAAAAUGUGACAAAUUAAACAAAAGCAAGACAGCACAUCAGAGAACAACUCUGAGGUGGAAUGAUUGGGAACCAAUGAAUAGUUGUUCAGUAAAUGGUUUAUAUUUUACAGAUGAUGAAACUGAAACACAAAAAAUUUAGAUUAACUCUUAGGUGACAAAGCCAGGAUUGAAGCUCAUGCGGUCUGGCUCCAGAACAACUCUUCUUCAUAGUUACGUUAUACUGCCCCUGCAUUGUUGGUAUUGAAAAUAACUGAUACCGUGCUUCCAGAAGAUUUUUCUAACAGUGUUUGCAAGCUAUAAAAUAGUGCUUUCACUUAGAAAAGGCUAGACGUGGUGGUUCAUGCCUGUAAUCCCAGCACUUUGAGAGGCCGAGGCACCAUGCUGGGAGAUAAGGAUCCAACAUAAGACAAACAGUGCUGAUGCUUUUGGAAAGCUCAUAUUCAAGCUGGGGAGACAAACAACAUACAAUAGAGAUGCGGUUUCGCCAUGUUGGCCGGGCUGGUCUUGAAGUCCUGACCUCAGGUGAUUCACCUACCUCAGCUUCCCGACGUACUGGGUUUACAGGCAUGAGCCACCGUUCCCGGCCAAGGUGGCUGUAGCUACCUUCUGCAUAUGGAUAUCCAGUUUUCCCAGCACCACUUAUUAAAGAGACUGUCUUUUCUGCAGUGUAUAUUCUUGGCACCGUUGUUGAAAAUGAAUUCAUUGUAGAAACUCACUCUGUCACUCAGGCUGGAGUGCAAUGGCACGAUCUCGGCUCACUGCAACCUCUGCCUCCCGAGUUCAGGAGGGCUCUGAGAGAUUUCAUUUCUGUCCUGCUGAUGAAGUCUACGUUCAUUCAGGGCCUGCUGUGGAAGACCAGCCCCAAAGUUGCUGAACAGAAGACUUUUGAGAGUCAGCAGAAAUCUUCCACUUUGCAUGGUUCUCUUGAUGUGAAAUCAUCUAUAUAGCCCCAGAAUUGGAAAA